rnacentral:rRNA from 1 species
UACGGAGGGUGCAAGCGUUAUCCGGAUUCACUGGGUUUAAAGGGUGCGUAGGCGGGCAGGUAAGUCAGUGGUGAAAUCCCCGAGCUUAACUUGGGAACUGCCGUUGAUACUAUCUGUCUUGAAUACUAUGGAGGUAAGCGGAAUAUGUCAUGUAGCGGUGAAAUGCUUAGAUAUGACAUAGAACACCCAUUGCGAAGGCAGCUUACUACACGAUCAUUGACGCUGAGGCACGAAAGCGUGGGGAGCAAACAGG